GAUGAACGCUAGCUACAGGCUUAACACAUGCAAGUCGAGGGGCAGCAUGAACUUAGCUUGCUAAGUUUGAUGGCGACCGGCGCACGGGUGAGUAACACGUAUCCAACCUGCCGAUGACUCGGGGAUAGCCUUUCGAAAGAAAGAUUAAUACCCGAUGGCAUAGUUCUUCCGCAUGGUAGAACUAUUAAAGAAUUUCGGUCAUCGAUGGGGAUGCGUUCCAUUAGGUUGUUGGCGGGGUAACGGCCCACCAAGCCUUCGAUGGAUAGGGGUUCUGAGAGGAAGGUCCCCCAGAUUGGAACUGAGACACGGUCCAAACUGCUACGGGAGGCAGCAGUGAGGAAUAUUGGUCAAUGGACGAGAGUCUGAACCAGCCAAGUAGCGUGAAGGAUGACUGCCAUAUGGGUUGUAAACUUCUUUUAUACGGGAAUAAAGUGAGGCACGUGUGCCUUUUUGUAUGUACCGUAUGAAUAAGGAUCGGCUAACUCCGUG
rnacentral:rRNA from 1 species